rnacentral:rRNA from 1 species
AAUGAACGCUGGCGGCGUGCUUUACACAUGCAAGUCGAGCGAGGCCACCCGCAAGGGUGAGUCGAGCGGCGAACGGGUGAGUAACGCGUGGAUUAUCUGCCCUGAGGUGGGGGAUAACCCGGGGAAACUCGGGCUAAUACCGCAUAUGACCGUGAGGUCAAAGGGGGCUCGCAAGAGCUCUCGCCAUAGGAGGAGUCUGCGUUCGAUUAGCUAGUUGGUAGGGUAAUGGCCUACCAAGGCGACGAUCGAUAGCCGGCCUGAGAGGGUGAUCGGCCACACUGGAACUGAGACACGGUCCAGACUCCUACGGGAGGCAGCAGUGGGGAAUCUUGCGCAAUGGGCGAAAGCCUGACGCAGCGACGCCGCGUGAGGGAUGAAGGCC